UGUUUCCCGGGGGCGGAUUUCUCGCUUCUUCCUCCCUGGAUCCACCUCCUCCCACUCCACCUCCUUCCCCUCCCCUCCCCAGGGGAGGCUCUGGGACUGAAUAUUUUCUGUCUUGAAUAAUACGGUCUCAGGGAGCCGACGCAGGAGGAGGAUUAACCCGGGGCGGGAGGGGUCCUCGCUAACCCCCUUCCAACGCGGCUGGGGACCCACAAGCCCUCACGCCCAGCAGCACCCCAAAACCAGGCUCACAAAACCUCCCGCCCUCUCCGACCUCCCGAGCGCUGAACGGAGCGGCCGGGAGCGGGGGUUUAUCCUGGGGAAGAGAUUUGGUGGCUGGUGUCCGGGUUGCUUAGUGGGAGACAGUCAUAUAGCGAGAUCUGUGGAACCGAGGGAUCAAAGGUCCCAGACUGCGAAGGACAUGUCUUGGUGAAUUAUUGGCCCCUUUUUUGAAGCGGGAGGAGCACGAAGCUGGGAGAUGUGGGACUUCCAGAUAAGGGAGUGUCUUCUCACAUCAGACAGCAAAAUAUUUCCCGUGGUGGGAAAAAAGGGGGCGGGUAGCAGCGGAGCGUUGUUCAUUCAAUUCUUUCCUUUUUAAAAAAAUCCACAGAGCCGCUGAGCUGCUUCGGAGCGACUAGCAGAACUGAGGAAAGGUGGCUGUAUUUCUCUACACUACAGGUCACUGCGGCUCCACACCCAGAGGACAGCCGCGCGCCGUCCCUCCCCACCAGACUCCAGGGCCUGGUCUUAGACCUCGGGCGGCUUGCUCCACCCCGCCGCGCCUCACAACAUCUCCCGCUGCAAAUUGUCCAAUCGGGAAACGCGACAAGAGAACAGGAACCAAUCAAAGGCUGCUGACUCAGCCCUCCUCCCUUCCCCAGUCCUGCUGGUGCUGUUGAGGGUCAUUUCUAUCCUCACUGCAGCGGGGGACUGCUAGCUAUUGUGUCUGAUCAGCUGCCACCACCAUCCUCAGGGAGAAAAGAAGAACAAAACCAAGAAGCUAAGGGGUGUGUCUAUCUUUUCCUUCUUUCUUACACACUUAUCUUCUGAAGACUCAGACACCUCUCCUCCCCUGCUCCUCGCCCACUGCCUCGGCUUCUGUUUCUUGUUGGGCGGGGGACAAAAAACACUCCCUGGGGUAGGAAUACCUAUGUCUCCGUUUUUUGGUCUUCCUUAGAGUGGAAGGCACCAAUUAACAACUAAAUCCUCACACUCAAAAAUAAAUAAAUAAAAAUUGACUA